UGGGGACCUUCGGGCCUGCCGUUGUUGGAUGAGUCCGCGGCCCAUUAGCUAGUUGGUAGGGUAAUGGCCUACCAAGGCUACGAUGGGUAGCUGGUCUGAGAGGAUGAUCAGCCACACUAGAACUGAGACACGGUCCAG
rnacentral:rRNA from 1 species